GUGCUCUCUUUGGCAGCACAUAUACUAAAAUUGAGACAAUGCAGAGAUUAGCAUGGCCCCUGUGUAAGGAUGACACAUAAAUUUGUGAAGUGUUCUCUAUUUUU